GCUCGGUGCAAUCCUAUGGACGGAUAAACUAAAAAACUCACUUUGUUAUGAAUCGUUUAGAAAGCACGUUAAUGUCCACAACCUCUCGGCCAAUUAGCCUAUGACCGACCUUGGCUACAAGAUACCACGAAGGUGCAAAUAAACCAAACAGAGCACUACUGCUGCUAACUAUCAAUCACUGUGUCAUUUAGUACCGUCCACUUGACUACUUGUCAUCUUACGCACUCAAGUAUUUUAUUAAACUCUCUGCAGGCAACGGGGAGAUCAUACCAAGAAAUAUGUAAAAUAGCAAUCCAGAUCAGCAUCAGACAUGAUGCCGUGGCAGAUCCUUUCGUAGCCACGAAAACAAAGGUCACGCUUUUGUUCUUUUCGCUUUCGAUACAGUGGGGACGCGCGUGGCGUAAGCUCGCCCUAUUCUGUUGCAAUAGUAGAUGACAUUGUGUUUUUGCUUCAUUGUUUGCGAUAAGGUAGGAUCACACACUAGGUAGGAGCACCACUCUUGCCACUAGCGCUCACAACUGUGAUCCGAGACCUUUCACUGGGGCAGGGGUUUCGUGUGUUGGGGCUGCCCAAGGAAGAAGAAACACACACGCAUGAGUUGAAGGUUGAAGAAGGCUCACACAACACACACGAGACACAAGAGCACACAGAGUUCUUCGGGCAACACACUUCUGCCUUUUCUCUUACUCUUUUUCCCAACGCCCUCCGUAACUGGUUACAAGUCCUUUAGUAGAUAUACACACAUACUACUGCUACUGAUCCGCUAUUUCCUCUCCACUAGCCAGUAGCUAUGGCUACGAGUAACAACCUCUCUUAGCAGGGCCACGCUAUUCGGCCGCACCAUCCUCUCUAGCUGAUUACUCGGUCCACAUCUAGGCCACACUAACAGCCAUGAACUCGGUCAGACAACGGCACACGUACGUGCAUGCUACUCAAUGGAUGGAUGCCCGCACAUGCAACCACUCUCCACUAUCUCAACUAAGGACUAACCGGACUAACUAAUCCAACUUGGCUUGCAUGUGUACAGGUUCUCAUAUUUCUUCAUGCACACGCUAUCGCAGCCUCAACUACAUGCAGGAAACAAAGUAUGAUAAACACUAAACCAACAAGGUUAACUCUAACA
rnacentral:lncRNA from 1 species